GACGAACGCUGGCGGCGUGCCUAAUACAUGCAAGUUGAGCGCUGAAGGUUGGUACUUGUACCAACUGGAUGAGCAGCGAACGGGUGAGUAACGCGUGGGGAAUCUGCCUUUGAGCGGGGGACAACAUUUGGAAACGAAUGCUAAUACCGCAUAAAAACUUUAAACACAAGUUUUAAGUUUGAAAGAUGCAAUUGCAUCACUCAAAGAUGAUCCCGCGUUGUAUUAGCUAGUUGGUGAGGUAAAGGCUCACCAAGGCGAUGAUACAUAGCCGACCUGAGAGGGUGAUCGGCCACAUUGGGACUGAGACACGGCCCAAACUCCUACGGGAGGCAGCAGUAGGGAAUCUUCGGCAAUGGACGAAAGUCUGACCGAGCAACGCCGCGUGAGUGAAGAAGGUUUUCGGAUCGUAAAACUCUGUCGGUAGAGAAGAACGUUGGUGAGAGUGGAAAGCUCAUCAAGUGACGGUAACUACCCAGAAAGGGGCGGCUAACUACGUG
rnacentral:rRNA from 1 species